UCAAUGAAAUUUGCUUAUUUCUUGUGUCUAAACCAACCCUGUACGGAUCGAACUGACGAUUCCCGAGUGCGACAAAUGUCCUGAAGUCUGCUCCUAUUAGCUUGGUAUCUAGAAAUUUCAACUUGAGUGUCAAGUGAAGACUUUGCCAGUUGCAGACGAGGGAAUUCUCGCUUCACGAUUUUCCUGGUGUGUGGAGAUACGUCGGAAUGCCGACCCACCACACCCGACAUGAUGCUUCGGCCGGAAUGCAGAAAGGAUCACAUGUAGUGCCUUCUCAGCAUUACAUUACAUCCAUUGCGUAGCAGCAAUGUGCCAUCCUUCCGCGACUUAGGUGGAAUGACGUGCAAGUGGUGCUCCAGGGUCAACUUCAAUUUGCCGAGCACUUAUGCCGCUGGCUUGGGGUCAGCAGCUGGGUGCAAAGUCUCUGUAUACAAAUCGUGCACUGUCGUCAACAAUAUGGCAUCCUUGUCCAGCAAUUCCCGUCCUGUAGCGGCAAUGACUAUAAUAUUGGGGAAAUCACUCUCGGCACCUUCCGUGCUGUACUGAGAGAUGAUGCUUCGCAAUUGGUGGUCUGUGCUUGGUGCAUUGUCGGCAGGGAGCAUGUCAAUUUGCUUUUGGUAGCAGCGUCUACAAAAUCGA